UCCUAGGCUACUCCUACUAGCCCGCCGCGUGUGUGAUGACGGUCUUCGGGUUGUAACGCACUUUUGGUUGGGAGGAAGGGCAGUGAGUUGAUACCUUGCUGUUUUGACGUUCCGACAGAAUAAGCACCGGCUAACUUCGUGCCAGCAGCCGCGGUAAUAAAA
rnacentral:rRNA from 1 species